rnacentral:rRNA from 1 species
UACGGAGGAUGCGAGCGUUAUCCGGAUUUAUUGGGUUUAAAGGGUGCGUAGGCGGAAUAUCAAGUCAGCGGUAAAAAUUCGGGGCUCAACCCCGUACUGCCGUUGAAACUGCAUCCCUUGAGUGCGCGAGAAGUACGCGGAAUGCGCGGUGUAGCGGUGAAAUGCAUAGAUAUCGCGCAGAACUCCGAUUGCGAAGGCAGCGUACCGGCGCCGGACUGACGCUGAGGCACGAAAGUGCGGGUAUCGAACAGG